rnacentral:misc_RNA from 1 species
UACGGAGGGGGCCAGCGUUGUUCGGAAUCACUGGGCGUAAAGGGUUCGUAGGCGGCCACGUAAGUCUCGGGUGAAAGCCCCCGGCUCAACUGGGGAACGGCCUGGGAAACUACGUGGCUUGAGUUCGGUAGAGGGAGAUGGAAUUCCGGGUGUAGCGGUGAAAUGCGUAGAUAUCCGGAGGAACACCAGUGGCGAAGGCGAUCUCCUGGGCCGAUACUGACGCUGAGGAACGAAAGCUAGGGGAGCAAACAGG